GGUAGUAUGGCCGAGUGGUCUAAGGCGCUGGUUUAACGCACCAGCCUCUUCGGAGGCGUGGGUUGAAGUCCCGCCGCUGUCA